rnacentral:rRNA from 1 species
AGAGUUUGAUCCUGGCUCAGGACGAACGCUGGCGGCGUGCUUAACACAUGCAAGUCGAACGGAAAGGCCCUUCGGGGUACUCGAGUGGCGAACGGGUGAGUAACACGUGGGUGAUCUGCCCUGCACUUUGGGAUAAGCCUGGGAAACUGGGUCUAAUACCGAAUAUGACCAUGCGCCUCCUGGUGUGUGGUGGAAAGCUUUUGCGGUGUGGGAUGGGCCCGCGGCCUAUCAGCUUGUUGGUGGGGUAAUGGCCUACCAAGGCGACGACGGGUAGCCGGCCUGAGAGGGUGACCGGCCACACUGGGACUGAGAUACGGCCCAGACUCCUACGGGAGGCAGCAGUGGGGAAUAUUGCACAAUGGGCGCAAGCCUGAUGCAGCGACGCCGCGUGAGGGAUGACGGCCUUCGGGUUGUAAACCUCUUUCAGCACAGACGAAGCGCAAGUGACGGUAUGUGCAGAAGAAGGACCGGCCAACUACGUGCCAGCAGCCGCGGUAAUACGUAGGGUCCGAGCGUUGUCCGGAAUUACUGGGCGUAAAGAGCUCGUAGGUGGUUUGUCGCGUUGUUCGUGAAAACUCACAGCUUAACUGUGGGCGUGCGGGCGAUACGGGCAGACUUGAGUACUGCAGGGGAGACUGGGAUUCCUGGUGUAGCGGUGGAAUGCGCAGAUAUCAGGAGGAACACCGGUGGCGAAGGCGGGUCUCUGGGCAGUAACUGACGCUGAGGAGCGGAAGCGUGGGGAGCGAACAGGAUUAGAUACCCUGGUAGUCCAA